AUUGAACGCUGGCGGCAGGCCUAACACAUGCAAGUCGAACGAGUGGCGGACGGGUGAGUAAUGUCUGGGAAACUGCCCGAUGGAGGGGGAUAACUACUGGAAACGGUAGCUAAUACCGCAUACCAUCGGAUGUGCCCCGAUGGGAUUAGCUAGUGGGUGGGGUAACGGCUCACCUAGGCGACGAUCCCUAGCUGGUCUGAGAGGAUGACCGGCCACACUGGGACUGAGACACGGUCCAGACUCCUACGGGAGGCAGCAGUGGGGAAUAUUGCACAAUGGACGCAAGCCUGAUGCAGCCACGCCGCGUGUGUGAAGAAGGCUUUCGGGUUGUAAAGUACUGUUAGCGAGGAGGCGGUACUCACAGAAGAAGCAACGGCUAACUCCGUGCCAGCAGCCGCGGUAAUUC
rnacentral:rRNA from 1 species